rnacentral:lncRNA from 1 species
CCUUUUUCUUAAUUUCAGUUCCUUUCCUUUUCUGGUAGAGACAAAGGAGAUACAUUUUAUCCGCGGACCCAAAACUCUGGUGCUGGUCACGGACUCAGAAAGACAGUUUCCUUUGGUGUUUAAUGCCUGCCUGAUUAUUCACCCACGUUUCAGAGGUGUCUGACCAUGCGAGGACACCUGCCUUGGUCCUUCACCCUUAGCAGCAAGUAGCACUUUUCUGGGGGGCAAGCACCCCAUGACCCCUUCUCUCCGUGUCUCUACCCCUUCUCCACUUUUCUGGGGGCAAGCACCCCCCGACCCCUUCUCUCCAUGUCUCUACUCUCUCUUUUCUCUGGGCUUGCCUUCUUCACUAUGGGCAACCUUCCACCCUCCAUUCCUCCUUCUUCUCCCUUAGCUUGUGUUCUCAAGAACUUAAAACCUCUUCAACUCUUGUGUGACCUAAAAUCUAAGCAUCUUAUUUUUUUCUGUCUAUUUUCUUCCUCCCACCUGAUGCAUAUACUUUCUGCUCCCCGGCUCCUUCAGCUAUACUCACUCUUUGUUAAGUCUCCCACAAUUACCAUUGUUCCGGACUUCAAUCCAGCCUCCCACAUUAUUCCUGAUACCACACCUGACCCCCACGACUGUAUCUUUCUGAUCCACCUGACAUUCACUCCAUUUCCCCAUAUUUCCUUCUUUCCUGUUCCUCACCCUGAACACACUUGGUUUAUUGAUGGCAGUUCCACUAGGCCUAAUCGCCACUCACCAGCAAAGGCAGGCUAUGCUAUAGUAUCUUCCACACCUAUCAUUGAGGCUACCACUCUGCCCCCUCCACUACCUCUCAGCAAGCUGAACUAUUGCCUUAACUCAGGCCCUCACUCUUGCAAAGGGACUACACAUCAAUAUUUAUACUGACUCUAAAUAUGUCUUCCAUGUCCUGCACCACCAUGCUCUUAUAUGGGCUGAAAGAGGUUUCCUGUCUAUGCAAGGGUCCUCCAUCAUUAAUGCCUCUUUAAUAAAAAUGCUUCUCAAAACUGCUUUACUUCCAAAGGAAGCUGGAGUCAUUUGUUGCAAAGGCCAUCAAAAGGCAUCAGAUUCCAUAAUAGGAACCCUUGUGCACUGCUGCUGGGAAUGUAAAAUGGCACAGCUGCUAUGGAAAACAGUAUGAAACUUCCUCAAGAAAAUUAAAAAUAGAAUUACCAUAUGAUUCCAUCUGUCAUCAGAAAUGAAAAAACCUGAAAAGACAUCUUAAGAGGCUAAUCUUAUGUUCUACAAGAGUGAUUUAUCUGCAGGAAUAAUUGGGAAAGUUGCAAAUCUUGUGAACCCCAGCAUAAUGACUGGUAAUCCUUUACAUGUUAGCAGAAUUCAGGCUCAUGUCAUCCUCCCAUUAGCCUUACAAAAGUGGUAGAGUUUCGGGGAAGGGAUAUUACCAUUUGAAGUAUAAACUAAAUGUCUCCCAGAGUUAACUUGGACUAGGCCCAGGAAUAAUUAGGGCAGUUUGGAGGUUAAAGGCAAGAUGGAAGUGAGUUAGAUCAGAUCUCAUUCAUUGUCAUAAUUUUCUCACUGUUAUAAUUUUUCCAAAGGUGGUUUCAGUUAUAAGCUCACAUUAACGUGUUCUAGAAAAGAUAUAACUACAUCUGAAACCUGCAAUUUCAUGGAUCUCAUUGCUUCUUGAAGGAAAUAAAGAUAUUUUACUCCAAAAUCUAUUUAUUUGACAUAUUUUGAAAUGGCUGCCACAGAGCCAACAGACAGAAGUGGCUUGCAAAGCUGUCUUUUGUGGGGGAAAUUUGCAUCUGUAGAGAAUCUCCAUGGAUGCAGCCAGGCCUUCCGUUUCUAGGCCUUUCCCCAAGAGGCUUACUCUACAUAAUGAGACCCCCUUUGGUAGCCAGGCCCCUUCCUCUCCCCUUCUCAUAACCUGCCUUGGCACUAAACUUGAUCUACCAACCUAACCUGUUUUGGGCCAUGCUCUGAGCAUGCAUUAUUUCUAUAACCUCGAGAUGCUAUGCAAGCUUUGGAACCUAACCAGGGAAUUACAUCAUCAUUCUCAAGGUUCCUGUGUAUACAUAUUACACACAUUUGUCUGCCUUUUGUGAGUUGAUUUUUCAGCAGAACUUCAGAGGGUCAAGGGGAAAGCUCUUCCUUGGCCCUCAGUUCUCAUGAGGCUAAGUAAGAAGAAGUCAAUUUAACUAAAACCGAGUAAGUAAUGCUACAGGUGGCUCACAGGCAUGGCAAAAAUCUGAAAUGUUGGAAGAAGGAGAAACAUGGGGCUAGUCUUUAGUCUCAUUUUUAGGCAGAAGUAUAGACUGAUGUUCCCAAUGACAUUUGGAGAAUGGUAUUUUCCAUGAUUCAUUCUUCUUUUCAAUCUUCACUAGCAGGAAGCAGUGGCGUGAGCUGGGGAGGGGAAGUAAAGGCGUCCUUAAUCGUGUCUCCACCUGCCUUCCAAGAUGCUGCCUUCGAUUUUGUUUUGAGUAAGGGAUGAUAAGCCAUCCUCUUAGAGAGCAUCAGCUCAUUCCUUUCAUAGCCAAGCUCAUCAGCAUUUCUGGUGAUUGUGUAUUGUGGUAUCUGCAAAC